rnacentral:rRNA from 1 species
AUGAAGCGCAAGCGCGGCCACACGCCGGGCAAGAAGAGUUCUUCGAAUACCACCGGGGGAGACUCUUCGUCUGCAUCUCCGUCCAGCCCAAGCACCGAGGAGAACAUCCCAGCGGAGAAUGCGCCUGUCUCGAGGUCCACUCCGGCAGUGCCUGAACCAUCUCCUCCUCCUGAACCAGAGAAGCCGAUCCUCCCUGCCCCAGCUCCGGCUCAUCCCACCGCUGAUAUACCGUACGCCAAGCCGAAGGUGGGGGCGGUAUACGGUCGUGUGAAGCUGAAGUUCAAAACCUCCAAGGUGGUAGAGCUCAACAAUAGUUCGUCUGUAGCUCAGGCAUCCGCUGAUGCUGGUAAAUCUCAGACUGCCGCUCCUGAAGUGAGCAAGCAAGCUACUGCCGAAAAAGGUAUCACUGCAUCGUCAACUGGCCAGACAACUGAUGGGCAGGAGUCGGAGUUGAGUGGUUCUGAUAAGGACAAGGUGGCAAAGAAAGCAGGAAGCAUAAAGAUCGUCUCGGCGGGAUUAUCUUCUUCAGUACAAGAUAACACCCAGGACAGGGAAGUUGAUGAAGUACAUGAACCUCUUCCAAGUAAGCAGGAAACUGUUCUAGUAACCGAGGAAAGUGAGAGUGCAUCGGAGCCAAAGAACUCACAAGGGUCAGAGAUAAAGCAGUCUACCCUGGAAUCUCAGCGUGAUGAGAAAGAGUUAGCUGCUGCACUUGAAGCUAUUAAGAAGGUUAUGAAGGUCGACGCAGCUGAGCCAUUUAACACCCCAGUGGAUCCUAUUGCUUUGGGAAUACCUGAUUAUCUUGAUGUUAUCGACACUCCUAUGGAUUUUGGCACAAUAUGUCAAGAUUUAGAACGUGGAAGCAAAUAUAUGAACUCAGAGGAUGUCUAUAAGGACGUGCAGUUUAUAUGGGAUAAUUGUACCAAGUAUAACAGUAAAGGUGAUUACAUAAUAGAGCUUAUGAAACGGGUAAAGAAGGCCUUCAUGAAAAAUUGGCUGGCAGCAGGCUUGUAUUCUGAUGUGCACGAGAAUGGUGGCAAUUACAAUACUGGCGAUGAGGAUACCAAAGUUAGUUCAAAAAGCAAGUCUAAGCAAAAACGGCGUCGCCCAGGGAAUGAUCGACACAAAAAUGAUUGUGCAUGUGCUGUUUGUCAAGUUACACGGCGUAAGAAGGAAAGGGAUGAAAUUUUAUCUGUUGAUAAUGAAGUCACUGUAGUGAACAUUUCUGAAGAGCGCAACAUGGAGGUAAACUUCGGUGAUAAUAAUCCUGGUAGUCAUGACACAGCCUCUAGUAAGGAGCAACCACGCCAUAUUGAUGUGUUUAAAACAACAAUGGAAGCAGAUGAUGCGCAGACUCAGAUGGAAGAUCCUGGAAAAUCCCUCAAUAAUCCAUCUCCUGACUAUGAAGAUGAGGUCUCCAGACAGUAUUCCGAGGAUAAGGAAGAGGAGUAUAAAGAUCUGAACAGUCAGGACGAACAUACUUCCACUCAGCCUAAUGAUGACUCAGUAGCUGGACAUCAUGAACAGAAGGCACAGACCGAAAUUGGGCAGGAGGUGGAAAUGGAGGAGUUGCCCAUUCAACAGGAGAACGAGUCAUUCUUGCAAGUCUGCGCGCGCCUUUUCCCCAGCAAGCAGGGCUCCGUUUUCAGGGGUCGCCAUUCUCUGUUCCGUCAGCAGCGCCGUUUGGUGGCACCAAAGGAGAGCCCCCUACACGUCGCCCUGACAGCGAUAAUGAAACGGUAG